rnacentral:rRNA from 1 species
AUGGAGGCCACCCUCCUGCGCCACCCGCGCUUCUGCAGCGUGCAGGUGAUGGACGAGUUGGAGGAGGGCGCGGGCCCGAAGUGGGUCCGGACCACGGUGGAACUCAACGACCACAUCAUCGUCCCAAACCUUGACCCCACUGCCAUGUUGAUCGAGCCGGACAGGACUCUCGAGGACUACUUGUCUUCCCUGUCCACGCUGCCCAUGGACCACUCACAUCCCCUCUGGGAGUUUCAUGUCUUGGACUUUCCCACCUCUGAGGCCGUUGCGGCCCUUGCUUUCCAUGCACACCACUCACUCGGGGAUGGCACCUCGCUACUAUCCCUUCUCGUUGCAUUUGCCGGCUCGUCUAAGGUGCUGCCGACCACCGCCCCACGUCGCAUCAGCACAAUAAAAGCCUUGUCACCGCGCUCAACUUCAUCCGCGGCCACGGGUGCCGUGGCUGUUUUCACUAUGUGGAUCAUGUCUCUGCUUCUUCUUGUGUGGCACACCGUUGUGGAUAUAGUGUGUUUUGUUGCGACGGAUGCGUCCAUACCGCGCGACCCACCAACGUUGUUCAAAGGUGCUGAUGGCGUCGAGUUUCGGCCCAAGCACUUCGUGAACCGUAGACUGAGCCUCGAGGACAUCAAGUAUGUCAAGAGCGUCAUGUGCUGUACUGUCAAUGAUGUUCUGCUUGGAGUGACUUCUACUGCCUUGUCUCGCUACUAUUUCCAGAAAACAGGUGAAAGCGACAAAAGGAACAUCAAGACACUAGCUUGCAUGAUGAAAUCGGGCAAGGACAACGGCGUGAAGUGGGGAAAUCAGCUCGGCUACAUGCUACUCCCGUUCCAUAUAGAAAAGCACGACGACCCUCUCAAGUAUGCCGAGAAGGCAACGAGGGUAGCACACAGGAAGAAGAGCUCCAUGAAAUCAGUCUUCACGAACUGGAGCGCUUUGGUGAUAAAGAAAAUCUUCGGUAUUAAGGCAACGGCUUCUCUAUGCUAUGCCUUGUUCAAGAACACCACCAUUUUGUUCUCCAACAUGGUUGGACCAACUGAGCAGGUAGCUUUGUAUGACCACCCCAUCCUCUACAUUGGCCCAAGCAUCUGUGGUCAACCACAUGCACUGACUAUUCAUUAUCAGAGUUACAUGAACAUUGUGAAGCUAGUCUUAGCAAUAGAUGAAGCACAACUUCAAAAUGUUGAUGACCUUUUAGAGGAUUUCAUCGAGUCUCUCACGCUAAUUAGAGAGGCAGCUUCAGGAAAACCACGUGUUGCAGAAGAGUGCUCCCAGGAAGAACAUAGACAUGGAGAGACAUGA